ACUUCCGGGAGGCAUUCCUAGCCUGGGAAAAAAAAAGCGGGGCUGGGAGCUCUCUGUACAAACAACACGCCGGAGAGUGAUCAGCCAUGUCAUAAGACAACACUGAAAUCAGACUGAAUCUGUCAUCGGUUCAUAAAUUCAAUCUUUGUCAUUUUUUUCCCCCAGGACUGACCGACACGUAUAUCCACGAAGCCGUGCAUGAACUGGAAAACACUGACGUUUAGCCGAAUAGCUCAUUCAAGACAAAAGCUCCAGCAGGACAGAUAGUAUGCUGAGUAAAGCGGCCACUAUGGAGAUCCCUAUCAACCGUAACGGAGACACGAGGACGCUGGCGGAGGAUGACAGCCUUGAACAAGUUGCUAAGCUACAGUGGAGCUUAGAUGAGAAGGUAGGGAGUUUCACAAUCACCAGGGUGAGAAGGACAACACUG